rnacentral:rRNA from 1 species
CCUACCUGGUUGAUCCUGCCAGUAGUCCAUAUGCUUGUUCCAAAGAUUAAGCCAUGCAUGUCUAAGUCCAAGCUGUGUGUGAGAUGUGUCUCUCUUACUCACGGCGAAACCGCGGACGGCUCAUUAAAUCAGUUGUGGUCUAAAUGUGACAGCGUUAUCUUACUUGGAUAACUGUGGUAAUUCCAGAGCUAAUACAUGCAACGUAUAGUCCGAGCUCCGAGGGUACCUUUCUGCCGCUUCUGCGUGCUUGAUUGUGCUUUAUCGGUUGCGACGGCUGCUUUUAUUAGACCAAACCGCGAAGGGUUUAGUGUAUGACACUGCGGAGAGUCUGAGUAUACCCUGUGUCCCCUUGGUAUCUGUCUCUCUUAACGCACGUUGUGCCUAUCCCAUUGACUCGUGUAAUACGGUGACUCCGGAUAACAAACCAAUGACAAGCGCUCGUAUCCAUUAACUUGGGACGGCGCUUCCACUUUCGAGUGUCUGCCUUAUCAGCUAUGUAUCGUUGGCUAUAUGCUACCGAUGGCUUUGACGGGUAACGGGGAAUCAGGGUUCGAUUCCGGAGAGGCAGCCUGAGAAACGGCUACCACGUCCAAGGACGGCAGCAGGCACGCAAAUUACCCAAUCCCAGCACAAGUGUGUGGGGAGGUAGUGACGGAAUAUAACGAUGCGGGCGCCUCUUCGGGGGCCUCGCAAUCGGAAUGAGCACGUAUAUAUCUUUCUAAACAAGCUUUGAUAUAAAAAGAGAACCCACUGAAGGGCAAGUCUGGUGCCAGCAGCCGCGGUAAUUCCAGCUUCAGUAGCAUCUACUAAAGUUGCUGCGGUUAAAAGGCUCGCAGUUGAAUGUCAGUACAGAGCCAAGUGAAGGUGGACGUUGGGGUGAUGUGUGUGUCUGCGUGACUGUGUGUUGUCUGGGCGCAAGCUCUCUCAGCCGCAGUGUGCGCGCAUAUGUCUAUAUAGCUCCCGUCCGUACAAAGCCUCCUGGCUCUCGUUCAAAGUGGAAUAUGUAUCGGUUUAAUGUGUGUGCUAUCCAAGGGUUUGCGAGAGACUAACGUCUCGAGCUCUCUCUAUCGCGGUGGUGAUAUAAAGAGUCGGUCUUUUCCAAAGUUACCUUGAGUAAAUCGGAAUGCUUAAGCAGUGUCGUGUAUAUAUGAUGUAUAUAUCUCUCUGACAGUCUUGGUUUUGCAUGGUAUGUCGAAAGACGCCGUCAUCUAUCCCUUCGGUAACGAGUCUGGUGCGGGCUCGCAUCUGCCAUACACAUGCACUUCGGUGUGUGUGCUUGUGGUUAGCGUGACGAGUAUAACAGACCGAAGGGAGCGGAAUGAUUAAGAGGAACGGUCGAAGGUCGAGGUAUUGCGAGGCGAGAGGUGAAAUUCUAUGACCCCCGCAAGACCACCCGAAGCGAAAGCGUCUGCCAAGGACGUCUUCAUUAAUCAUGAACGAAAGUUAGAGGAUCGAAGGCGAUCAGAUACCGCCCUAGUUCUAACUGUAAACGAUACCAACCAUCUAUCCGUGCGUAGCACCCUUGUUAACGGGCUCGGCGGGAAGCUCCCCUCUCACGGGAAACCAGAGUCUCUGGGUUCCGGGGGGAGUCUGGUUGCAAAGCUGAAACUUAAAGGAAUUGACGGAAAGGAACCACCAGGCGUGGAGCCUGCGGCUUAAUUUGACUCAACACGGGCCAUCCUACCAGGCCAGUACUCUCGAACGAUUGACAGAUUGAGAGUUCUUUCUCGAUCGAGUGGAUGGUGGUGCAUGGCCGUUCUUAGUUGGUGGAGUGAUCUGUCUGGUUAAUUCCGAUAACGAACGAGACUCUCCCCUGUUAAAUAGUCGGUUGGAUCUUGCGUUUGGAGAGUUGUGUCUCAUGGGUGCAGUAAAUGUAUCGAGUGAAUAUGUGUGGUGCGCUACAGAGGGUUGUUCACGGUGUUCGCAUCGUGCGUCUUUAGACAUCUCUCUUAACGUGUGCUAUGUGUGUCUCGCACGGUCGUUUAUAUCUGUUUCUAACUCGUGUUACACACUCCAAGUCCGCCGCUUAUCGCUUAUGACUCUGAUGGCAAAACGUGAUGUUUAAUGGCAAAGCUAUGUUUAUCGGAUGGUGUGUGUGGUAACACUCUUCUUAGAGGGAUUCACGGUUCUGAAACCGUAUGAGAAACUGAGAGCAAUAACAGGUCUGUGAUGCCCUUAGAUGUUCUGGGCCGCACGCGCGCUACAAUGCCGGGCUCAGCGGGUGUGUGUGUGUCUCUAUAUAUCCUGCUCCGAGAGGAGUGGGGUAAUCCUCUGAAAGCCUUUCAAACAAUUUUCAAAAAGAUAUCUCUCGCUACGGCUUACGCUUGUAUGUGAUUGUUUCUUUAGACUUGGCUUGCUUGGGCCUGGGGCUUGCAAUUCUUUCCCACAAACGAGGAAUGCCUAGUAGCGGCGAAUCACUGAGUUGGCUGUGACUAAGUCCCUGCCCUUUGUACACACCGCCCGUCGCUACUACCGAUUGGGUGUUCCAGUGAGAGCUUUGGAUUGGCGAGCCUCGCGCGUAUCCUUGUGAUCGUGUGAGUGUGUACGACGAGAAGAGGUUCGAACUGGUGCACUUAGAGGAAGUAAAAGUCGUAACAAGGUUUCCGUAGGUGAACCUGCGGAAGGAUCAUUA